CAGCUUUUACUCGGUUGGUUGCUUGCAGAUAUUGUGGUUAUUGUUUAUUUAUUUGUCCGGUAACUGGUUGGUGUUCGGAUAUCGUUGGCGAAUGUGUGAUUAAGAUGGUAACUUGAAUUAGUCAUACACGGACCUUUGAUUUUUCGUACUGUUCUAGCAUCAGAGUGUUGCCCGUUUGAAGACCUGAAAAAGCAUAUUGAUCCGUUUAUUAGAACUUACUACGUACAUGUAAAGCUUACAGCCGAAUUGACAAGCUGUCAGCACUACUACAGCCGGAGAUUGUUCCGCUUGCUGGUAUUGGAUUUGUAGGUCGUCGGCUACGGUCAGCACCCGAACAACCAGUUCUAAGUCAGAGACCAUGCGCUGCACUCGAC